rnacentral:misc_RNA from 1 species
GAUCAUUACUGAUUUGCUUAAUUGCACCACAUGUGUUUUUCUUUGAAACAAACUUGCUUUGGCGGUGGGCCCAGCCUGCCGCCAGAGGUCUAAACUUACAACCAAUUUUUUAUCAACUUGUCACACCAGAUUAUUACUUAAUAGUCAAAACUUUCAACAACGGAUCUCUUGGUUCUCGCAUCGAUGAAGAACGCAGCGAAAUGCGAUACGUAAUAUGAAUUGCAGAUAUUCGUGAAUCAUCGAAUCUUUGAACGCACAUUGCGCCCUCUGGUAUUCCGGAGGGCAUGCCUGUUUGAGCGUCGUUUCUCCCUCAAACCGCUGGGUUUGGUGUUGAGCAAUACRACUUGGGUUUGCUUGAAAGACGGUAGUGGUAAGGCGGGAUCGCUUUGACAAUGGCUUAGGUCUAACCAAAAACAUUGCUUGCGGCGGUAACGUCCACCACGUAUAUCUUCAAACUUUGACCUCAA